rnacentral:lncRNA from 1 species
GAUUAUAUUUCAUUACUAAUAUAAAUAGUUUAAUAUUUAAGGUAAAAGAUAAAUUUGUCUAAAAAAAAAAAUUGUAAUUCCUUUCUUUAUUAAAUUUUAUAUCAAACCAAACAAUGAAAUCUAAUUUCACUACUCUUCUCCACUCCUUUAUUCUCCGUUCCUCUACAUUCCACUCUUUUCCACUCCUCCCUUUUCUUGAAACCAAACAUGGCCUUAUGGGAAAGGAAUUUUGUUGAGUGCCAGAGAGUAUAUGCUCAUAAAGG